GGAGCCGGAGCAGAGGAUGUGGCCCAUGGGGUGCCAGGCCAGCGUCCACACGAUGCUGUCGUGGGCCUGCUCGAUGCCGCCCACCUCCUUGUCUGCCCUGCGCACGCCACACGCUACACGUCACACUCGUCCGCCCUGGCGUACCUCGCACGUCGCUUUGGCCUGCGAUCCGUCGACCUACAGUUGCUGUCGUCCGGGACUUCACCCCACAGGGCCCCUCCGAUCUCCUGUCGUCACGGCAUCAGAACACCCCGCCGGUGACGUGUGUCAGUGCGCCUCCAAAUACUGCAAGAGGGCUCAGUCGAGCCAGCAGUACUGUAAGCUAUUUCUUUUACCUUAAUAAUAAUUAACUUUUUUCGUAUGUCAUUAGUGUCCAUGUUCUUUCAGGUCUCGUAAACAAUCGGAUAUUCUUAUAUUUGAGUUACUACUUAACAUCAAUGGACCCGGGCUGCCGAAGCCAUCUCAUAUUUUAUUAAGCUGAGCUGUAAUGGUUUUACGUUAAUCGUUAAGGGUUUUAAGUCUGAAUUAAUUAUAUCAUGAUUUUUGAGGGAAAGAUUCUGUUUUUAACCGAUGCACACCAGCGGCAUGACUCGGAAUCGUCCAACUGUUCUUCCAGCUUGGCGCCACUGCGCUGACGAACAAGCUCAGCGGCCAUUACCCUACCCAAUUGCUUCGCAUCGCCACCCGAGGUAGGACGCUCUUCGCACUCCGGGUAUUUCAUCCUUUGCAUCAACUGACCAUGGUACUUCUGUUAUUAUAUUUGAUCUGAAUCAUUUUCUUGUUAUCCCCAGAGUUUACCUCGGGGGUGCAACUGCUUAAUUUAAUUAUGUAUAAAUCCGCUCGGCAGAGUUUUGUCAUCAACGCGAACUUACUGCCCGGCCACGAGAUGGCCUGGACAUCCGUAAGCCGGUUGUGCCGCGAGGCGUUUUACAGCUCAACUGCCUAACUAUAAAUUUUGUACAAGGAACGUGAAAUUUAAUGCCACGCAAUAAAUUCCAACUUAGCUAAUCUUGUGUUCUUUCACACUUGCCCGACCACGUUUUGAGUUUGUGUCGACUUGUAAGCCUGUGGGACACCAAAGACCCCACGUGAGCAUUUAUUAUAGCGAGCCCGACGCUGAGAGCGGCCCGCUUCCCGCGGUCUUGUAAGGUGCACGGGGAAAACUAGUCGCGACCCCACACGGGAGUAGAGUCUCUGCUAGACACAGAGGCACCCAAUAACUUAACUAAGACUUUCACUAACGAACACCCCGCCGCAUCACAGUGCUAUAUUGCGUAUUUCAGUUAUUGUUUGUUUUUUUCCUGUUGGUGUUGUAUUUGUUUUCUCAAUGUGUGUAUGGCGUGACCACCAUUAAAAGUUAUCCAACUGUCUUGUGGUUUUGUCACAAAUGUAUCAAUAAAUUAAUUAAUAAGUA